rnacentral:rRNA from 1 species
GGUUAAGCGACUAAGCGUACACGGUGGAUGCCCUGGCAGUCAGAGGCGAUGAAGGACGUGCUAAUCUGCGAUAAGCGUCGGUAAGGUGAUAUGAACCGUUAUAACCGGCGAUUUCCGAAUGGGGAAACCCAGUGUGAUUCGUCACACUAUCAUUAACUGAAUCCAUAGGUUAAUGAGGCGAACCGGGGGAACUGAAACAUCUAAGUACCCCGAGGAAAAGAAAUCAACCGAGAUUCCCCCAGUAGCGGCGAGCGAACGGGGAGCAGCCCAGAGCCUGAAUCAGUGUGUGUGUUAGUGGAAGCGUCUGGAAAGGCGCGCGAUACAGGGUGACAGCCCCGUACACAAAAAUGCACAUGCUGUGAGCUCGAUGAGUAGGGCGGGACACGUGGUAUCCUGUCUGAAUAUGGGGGGACCAUCCUCCAAGGCUAAAUACUCCUGACUGACCGAUAGUGAACCAGUACCGUGAGGGAAAGGCGAAAAGAACCCCGGCGAGGGGAGUGAAAAAGAACCUGAAACCGUGUACGUACAAGCAGUGGGAGCACGCUUAGGCGUGUGACUGCGUACCUUUUGUAUAAUGGGUCAGCGACUUAUAUUCUGUAGCAAGGUUAACCGAAUAGGGAGCCGAAGGGAAACCGAGUCUUAACUGGGCGUUAAGUUGCAGGGUAUAGACCCGAAACCCGGUGAUCUAGCCAUGGGCAGGUUGAAGGUUGGGUAACACUAACUGGAGGACCGAACCGACUAAUGUUGAAAAAUUAGCGGAUGACUUGUGGCUGGGGGUGAAAGGCCAAUCAAACCGGGAGAUAGCUGGUUCUCCCCGAAAGCUAUUUAGGUAGCGCCUCGUGAACUCAUCUCCGGGGGGUGAGCACUGUUUCGGCAAGGGGGGUCACCCCGACUUACCAACCCGAUGCAAACUGCGAAUACCGGAGAAUGUUAUCACGGGAGACACACGGCGGGUGCUAACGUCCGUCGUGAAGAGGGAAACAACCCAGACCGCCAGCUAAGGUCCCAAAGUCAUGGUUAAGUGGGAAACGAUGUGGGAAGGCCCAGACAGCCAGGAUGUUGGCUUAGAAGCAGCCAUCAUUUAAAGAAAGCGUAAUAGCUCACUGGUCGAGUCGGCCUGCGCGGAAGAUGUAACGGGGCUAAACCAUGCACCGAAGCUGCGGCAGCGACGCUUAUGCGUUGUUGGGUAGGGGAGCGUUCUGUAAGCCUGUGAAGGUGUGCUGUGAGGCAUGCUGGAGGUAUCAGAAGUGCGAAUGCUGACAUAAGUAACGAUAAAGCGGGUGAAAAGCCCGCUCGCCGGAAGACCAAGGGUUCCUGUCCAACGUUAAUCGGGGCAGGGUGAGUCGACCCCUAAGGCGAGGCCGAAAGGCGUAGUCGAUGGGAAACAGGUUAAUAUUCCUGUACUUGGUGUUACUGCGAAGGGGGGACGGAGAAGGCUAUGUUGGCCGGGCGACGGUUGUCCCGGUUUAAGCGUGUAGGCUGGUUUUCCAGGCAAAUCCGGAAAAUCAAGGCUGAGGCGUGAUGACGAGGCACUACGGUGCUGAAGCAACAAAUGCCCUGCUUCCAGGAAAAGCCUCUAAGCAUCAGGUAACAUCAAAUCGUACCCCAAACCGACACAGGUGGUCAGGUAGAGAAUACCAAGGCGCUUGAGAGAACUCGGGUGAAGGAACUAGGCAAAAUGGUGCCGUAACUUCGGGAGAAGGCACGCUGAUAUGUAGGUGAAGUCCCUCGCGGAUGGAGCUGAAAUCAGUCGAAGAUACCAGCUGGCUGCAACUGUUUAUUAAAAACACAGCACUGUGCAAACACGAAAGUGGACGUAUACGGUGUGACGCCUGCCCGGUGCCGGAAGGUUAAUUGAUGGGGUCAGCGCAAGCGAAGCUCUUGAUCGAAGCCCCGGUAAACGGCGGCCGUAACUAUAACGGUCCUAAGGUAGCGAAAUUCCUUGUCGGGUAAGUUCCGACCUGCACGAAUGGCGUAAUGAUGGCCAGGCUGUCUCCACCCGAGACUCAGUGAAAUUGAACUCGCUGUGAAGAUGCAGUGUACCCGCGGCAAGACGGAAAGACCCCGUGAACCUUUACUAUAGCUUGACACUGAACAUUGAGCCUUGAUGUGUAGGAUAGGUGGGAGGCUUAGAAGUGUGGACGCCAGUCUGCAUGGAGCCGACCUUGAAAUACCACCCUUUAAUGUUUGAUGUUCUAACGUUGACCCGUAAUCCGGGUUGCGGACAGUGUCUGGUGGGUAGUUUGACUGGGGCGGUCUCCUCCUAAAGAGUAACGGAGGAGCACGAAGGUUGGCUAAUCCUGGUCGGACAUCAGGAGGUUAGUGCAAUGGCAUAAGCCAGCUUGACUGCGAGCGUGACGGCGCGAGCAGGUGCGAAAGCAGGUCAUAGUGAUCCGGUGGUUCUGAAUGGAAGGGCCAUCGCUCAACGGAUAAAAGGUACUCCGGGGAUAACAGGCUGAUACCGCCCAAGAGUUCAUAUCGACGGCGGUGUUUGGCACCUCGAUGUCGGCUCAUCACAUCCUGGGGCUGAAGUAGGUCCCAAGGGUAUGGCUGUUCGCCAUUUAAAGUGGUACGCGAGCUGGGUUUAGAACGUCGUGAGACAGUUCGGUCCCUAUCUGCCGUGGGCGCUGGAGAACUGAGGGGGGCUGCUCCUAGUACGAGAGGACCGGAGUGGACGCAUCACUGGUGUUCGGGUUGUCAUGCCAAUGGCACUGCCCGGUAGCUAAAUGCGGAAGAGAUAAGUGCUGAAAGCAUCUAAGCACGAAACUUGCCCCGAGAUGAGUUCUCCCUGACCCUUUAAGGGUCCUGAAGGAACGUUGAAGACGACGACGUUGAUAGGCCGGGUGUGUAAGCGCAGCGAUGCGUUGAGCUAACCGGUACUAAUGAACCGUGAGGCUUAACCUU